AUUGAACGCUGGCGGCAGGCCUAACACAUGCAAGUCGAACGAGUGGCGGACGGGUGAGUAAUGUCUGGGAAACUGCCUGAUUGAGGGGGAUAACUACUGGAAACGGUAGCUAAUACCGCAUACCAUCGGAUGUGCCCAGAUGUGAUUGGCUAGUAGGUGGGGUAAAGGCUCACCUAGGCGACGAGCCCUAGCUGGUCGGAGAGGAUGACCAGCCAAACUGGAACUGAGAAACGGUCCAUACCCCUACGGGAGGCAGCAGUGGGGAAUAUUGCACAAUGGGCGCAAGCGUGAUGCAGACAUGCCGCGUGUAUGAAGAAGGCCUUCGGGUUGUAAAGUACUUUCAGCGGGGAGGCGUUACCCGCAGAAGAAGCACCGGCUAACUCCGUGCCAGCAGCCGCGGUAAUUC
rnacentral:rRNA from 1 species